AUUGAACGCUGGCGGCAGGCUUAACGCAUGCAAGUCGAGCGGAGAGAGGUAGCUCGCUACUGAUCUUAGCGGCGGACGGGUGAGUAAUGCUUAGGAAUCUGCCUAUUAGUGGGGGACAACAUUUCGAAAGGAAUGCUAAUACCGCAUACGUCCUACGGGAGAAAGCAGGGGAUCUUCGGACCUUGCGCUAAUAGAUGAGCCUAAGUCGGAUAGCUAGUUGGUGGGGUAAAGGCCUACCAAGGCGACGAUCUGUAGCGGGUCUGAGAGGAUGAUCCGCCACACUGGGACUGGGACACGGCCCAGACUCCUACGGGAGGCAGCAGUGGGGAAUAUUGGACAAUGGGCGCAAGCCUGAUCCAGCCAUGCCGCGUGUGUGAAGAAGGCCUUAUGGUUGUAAAGCACUUUAAGCGAGGAGGAGGCUACUUUAGUUAAUACCUAGAGAUAGUGGACGUUACUCGCAGAAUAAGCACCGGCUAACUCUGUGCCAGCCGCCGCCGUAAAAC
rnacentral:rRNA from 1 species